rnacentral:tRNA from 1 species
GCGGAAGUAGUUCAGUGGUAGAAUGCCUCCUUGCCAAGGAGGAGGUCGCGGGUUCGAAUCCCGUCUUCCGCUCCA